rnacentral:rRNA from 1 species
CAUGUAGGCGGGAAUGCAAGUCAGAUGUGAAAUACCGUAGCUUAACUACGGGGCUGCAUCUGAAACUGUGUUUCUUGAGUGUCGGAGAGGAAAGUGGAAUUCCCAGUGUAGCGGUGAAAUGCGUAGAUAUUGGGAGGAACACCAGUGGCGAAGGCGACUUUCUGGACGAUAACUGACGCUGAGGCGCGAAAGCGUGGGGAGCAAACAGGAUUAGAUACCCUGGUAGUCCACGCUGUAAACGAUGGAUACUAGGUGUAGGAGGUAUCAACCCCUUCUGUGCCGGAGUUAACACAAUAAGUAUCCCACCUGGGGAGUACGGCCGCAAGGUUGAA